rnacentral:misc_RNA from 1 species
UUUCCGUAGGUGAACCUGCGGAAGGAUCAUUACUGAGUGAGGGCCCUCUGGGUCCAACCUCCCACCCGUGUUUAUUAUACCUUGUUGCUUCGGUGAGCCCGCCUCACGGCCGCCGGGGGGCAUCUGCCCCCGGGCCCUCGCCCACCGAAGACACCUAGAACUCUGUAUGAAGAUUGCAGUCUGAGCAAAAACUAAAUAAGUUAAAACUUUCAACAACGGAUCUCUUGGUUCCG